CUGUCAUGGGGCUGUCUUUUCAUUGUCCAUUUGCCUAGCAAUUUGCUAGUUAUGAUUUCCAUCGGUAGCCUGUAUGGUUCUACUCUUUUGGGUAGUGCAUGAUUGUUUUGUUGACGCUUAUUUAGCCAGCUCUGUUAAUGUUAUUGUUGACAGGACGGCCGAGAUGUCAGCGAAUUUCAAGUGCUUCCAUGUGCGUAGCCAUGGUAAUGCACUUGGAUGUUCGCUGGGUCUCAUGGAUGCGGUCCCUAUUGUGAGCUCUACGGGCUUCUUGCCCGCAGAACCUGUGAAGGUUGCCCCUGUGGAGACCAUUGCCCUAUUGCUUCACCGACACAUCAUCGGCUUAAUUGCCAUGUUGUAGUGUUGCGAGAGGAUGUUGUUCUCUGCCUCUGUGGCGUGCCUCUCAGAACAAAUGACUUACGAAGCUGGUUUUGCGUUGUCACAAGGCUCCU
rnacentral:misc_RNA from 1 species